AUGAAGCUUCAUUCAGCAACCUUUCCUGAGACCCACUUUGUUGGAGGAACUGUCCUAGGCAUUGGGAACACAGAGACAUCCGCUAGCUCACCUGGAGGGAAGCUAGCUGUCAUCAAAAUAAGCGAUUACCAAUCUGUUUACGGCGUUUGUGAGGGGACAGAGGGCUCGCAGCCUCGGAGGAAGGCCGCACGGAUCCCGAAUUGGGCCGCGUGGAAUCCGCUCACAGCACCUCCUGGCCGGAGCGCCUUACCACGUCCACAGAGAACCGCCAGCUGGUCGCCAGCUGGUCGCCAGGAGGAAGCCCCGGGAAUGGAGAAACUCCUCUUCCGUGCUAGUUCAAGGUUCGGAAUCUCGCAAAGGGCUUAGUCGGGAAAGGCGAGACGUGCGGGUCCUCUGCUGUUUGGUUUUCAAGGAGGGCGUCGGUGCGCCUGCCGAACACAGCUGAGCCGAGGAGAGGAUGGGGUCCCUCGGUUCCCGUCAGCCUGGGCCCUGGGGCCGCGCCGGCGUUUCCAGGCAGCUCCUCUGGUGCCCUGAGACCCGCUAACUUGUGUGACGGCUCUGAGCUCGAUUUCCUCAUCUGCAAACUGUAGCCAUGGGUAGCGCUUCUCUCCCAGGGCGUUGUGAAGAGGAUAUGAGAUUAGGGUCAAGAGAAUCACCUUGUAUAGCCUUAACGCACUAUUUCAAUCUUUGCUUAACUGUUAACUAAGAGAAUCACUUUGGUUAACUAUUAACUAAAAGAAUCACUCAUAUAGAAAUGUCAAUGUCUACCCCAAACUAACUUUCCCCCUCUCUUUUCUCACUUCUUCUUUUUCACAGAAUCAGAUUACACAUUUUGUUAUUAGAUUAAGUCAAUAAACAUCUAGUGAGUUCUACA
rnacentral:lncRNA from 1 species